rnacentral:rRNA from 1 species
CCCCAGACUCCUACGGGAGGCAGCAGUGGGGAAUAUUGCACAAUGGGGGAAACCCUGAUGCAGCGACGCCGCGUGAGCGAUGAAGUAUUUCGGUAUGUAAAGCUCUAUCAGCAGGGAAGAAAAUGACGGUACCUGACUAAGAAGCCCCGGCUAACUACGUGCCAGCAGCCGCGGUAAUACGUAGGGGGCAAGCGUUAUCCGGAUUUACUGGGUGUAAAGGGAGCGUAGACGGCUGUGCAAGCCAGAUGUGAAAGCCCGGGGCUCAACCCCGGGACUGCAUUUGGAACUGUGUGGCUGGAGUGUCGGAGAGGCAGGCGGAAUUCCUAGUGUAGCGGUGAAAUGCGUAGAUAUUAGGAGGAACACCAGUGGCGAAGGCGGCCUGCUGGACGAUGACUGACGUUGAGGCUCGAAAGCGUGGGGAGCAAACAGGAUUAGAUACCCCUGUA